AAAAAAAAAAAAAAGGCAGGUAGACGGGUUUUAUUUGACCUGUAAGUUGUGUAUGUGUGUGAAAGAAAGAGAAGUGCAUGCAAGUGUGAUUUUUAGAACACCAGUAUUGUACUCAUAUUUGACCCAAAUUCUCAUUGUGGAUUAAGAGUGUAGUUGUGACAUAGCAGCACAUCUUCAAGGACCUGAGGCCUGUGCUUAUUGAACUUCCACCACCUCACAAGGGCAUGAAGGUUUGUUGACUGCAAGCUCACAGUGACCUUGUUCACAUACACAUGCAUGCAGAAAGAAAAUCGUUGCACACAAGGUCUGAAUAUUCCACAAGUCAGUAACGUCAUAAUUAGAUGUUUGGGGGCGCAGGGCAAUUAGUGAGUGUGUCACCUUCACUGAUGAGCUGGAAAAUAGAGCUGUCCAUGGAACUGAGUGCUGAACGUAUUCACAACUUUGACAGUGCAGCCUAUUUUUUUUUCUUCCUUGUAAUCUUUUUUUUAUUUUAUUUUUUAAAUUAACUAUUGAUUGCAGGAAAUGAAUGCUUUAACUUCAUUUUUGUUCAGGCUCUUUGACCCAUAGCAAGUUUGAGUUCUAAAGAGGGUUUGAUUCGACAAAAGAAUGUUGAAAAACUCCACCUGAGGCUAUUGGUGCCUUCUUACCUGAGAGUCAAAAGCUGAAAAGCACAUACUGAAGGAGGACAGUCAUUUUGGGAAAUAAGUGUAUCCCUCCCAUGCUUGUCAUUUUGGACAGGUACGCCUGUCUCUUUACUAAUUUUCACUGAAUUGGGCCAUUCCUGUCUUCUGGAAAGCAAGGUAUUUAUGAUGUAUAUAGUUGUAUGGACAUUUUUUUCUUCUGUAACUAAUAUGUAAUCAACACAUGACUUCUGUUUGACCUUUUACAAUAAGGCCACUGUAUGCCUCAACACGAUUGACCUCUGAGCUUUUCCUGAGUCAGCCACAUGCUGCAAAGGAGAGUGCUGGAGGGUUCAUUGUACAUAUAGAAACAUGUAUAGUUAGUAAAUGGAGUAAGUGGGACUUCUGGCCAGUAUGCGUUAAAGCCACAACAGUAACAGAGCUCCAGAUCUUAAUGAGCAAACCAACUGUUCACCUUGCCAUGUCCGUCCUGUAGCAAGACCUAAGCUGCACCUGCCUGUAGUUCUGCAUGAUCAGACUUCAGAGUAUAACCAACACAGUCUGUAAUGUAUUGGUGUUGAUAAACAUAGUUUUAAAAAGAAAAAAGAAAAAAAAGAAGAAGAAGAAAAAAACUAACUAACUAAAAAAACUCAUCCAACAAAAGAAAAUCAACAGUUGAGAACGCAGACUGGAAAUGGAGAUGUGUCACAUUGUGUUAAACGGUGAUGGCUGAAAGCAGUGUUAGCACCAAUGGACUGCAGUAGUGACGCCUGUAAGGAUCCAACUUUAUUUCUGUACUGUUCUGUUCUUACCAUGUUGCUUUUGACUGUCUGUUGUUCCCUGUGCAAAGUACAGGGGAGAACUUUGCCUCUGUCAUCCCUGUUUUAUGGGUCAAUGUUACAUCAAUUAUUUCUGAUUUCUAUUCAUUUGGCAAUUACCAAACCACAAUGGGAACUUCAUUUUCCUUGUGUGUUGGAAGGAAUCCCGUCAGAGCUACUCUUGAGGACACUUCUUACUGCUGCCCUGGCUCCUGUCGGCUGAAUGACUUUGCAGCAUUCCCAGUAAACAGCACAAUGCAGCAAACCAUAUUUUGAGGGCUUCAUUAAAUGUGCUGUGCAUCUGUACUCACUGGGGCUCAAAGUCACACAGGGACAGGACUCGGUUAAACAUGGUAUGUACUCUAUGCAUGACGCCUAUAUUACACCUUUAUGACCUUAUAGGGGGAAAACUGCUGGUCUUUUCAGAUGUGGGUUUGGACUGUUUUUUUCUGGAGCAAAGGUGUAUGAAUCCCUAUGCUACACACCGCAUGCUCCUGCCCAGAGCAGCUCGUGGGAGCUGAGGCGGUGCAUGGGCUGCCCAGGGGCCAUGCACAGAGGUGAACCUCAUGCUGUCUGAAUGUUUCCUUGCCAAAAAGCCUGUAUGUAUGUCAAGCAGGGGAGACCGUGGCUGUUCUAUAAGGAGUGUUUGUGUUGUUUACUUUACAACAAGCUUUGCUAAUUAAAAUAGUGUAUUCUGGAGUCCUAUGUGAAUGGCAUGAGGGGUGUCAAUGACAAAGAGGCAAAGUCUGCUCACCUGCUGUCCUGUUGCUGUACUUCUCACUAGGGGACUCAGCUGUAAACACGUGGAAACUGCCAAGUUUGCAAAAUCCAGUUAGUUCUCUGGCUGAUGCAUUCCAUAGGCUUAACUCUGCCAGCGACCAUUCAUUUUAAAAGGCAUUUAGAAGGCUGAGAGUGUGUAAGGGCACCUCAGCACCAAUCAGACUCUCUAGUUUUACAUAGCUUAAGUUUAUUCCUCUGGUUCACAGACUAAAAAUACUGAAAAAUUUGCAAGGUGACAGGACGGAAGGAAGGAAAGCUGCCAUCUAACAGCUAUUCCUUCUUCCAUCUCUAUCCCCCAUUAUAAAUAUAUGUAUAAAACUAAAACAAGCAAAUGAAACAGAGUGAAAAGAAACACGCACCAUUUGCAGUCACUGUUUGUGGCUGAAUUUUCACACAGGUGUAGGCAUUUCACUCUGUUUCAAGUAAAAAAACAAACAAACAAACAGAAAGAUGAGAGAAGUGCUGCCUUUUAGAAAAAAAUGGCUUUUCCUCCCUUCUUGCACAAGAUCUCUGCUUCAUCCAACUGAGUCAAACCAUCAUACACAAUGCACAUUUUUAUGUUUGGAUUUAUUGUGAGAUUUAAAAAACAACCACAACAAAGGGGUUUGGGAAGGGCUAUGGAAAAAAAAUGGGUUUAAGUACCUUGUAAGCAAUAUCAAGGGGGAAAUUCUUAAAAGUCCAUAGUUAAGUGAUCUUCCAAAUUAACAUAGAGAAAUGGUGCUCUUGCUCUAACUUGCUAAAACAGGAAAACUUUCAAGGUUUAUUGUUCUCCCACUUUGUGUAUGCAGAGAUCGUCUAUGCUAAAAUGCAGUACAAACCUCUGACUUCAUUUGGCAAGGGAAAUUUGGAUUUGUGAUUCUUGCUGCCAAAUGGGAGAGAUGGGGAGCCACUUGUUUUUAUUGGCCAACAUUUGAGAAUCUUGAAGAUCUAUCUUUUCUUGAGAAGUUUGCCCUUUUUAGGACUUUUAGAACUCUUACACAUCAUUGAAUCCCUAUCUGAAGCUGUGAGUGUGAUUUCUCUUCAAAUAAACCCCGAGCCCAAAAUUCUACAAAAUCUGAAGUUGUAUUUGAAUAUGACAAUCUGAUAGAAUACUCCUUGCUAUUACACAGCAGUACAUUUAUAGAGGCAGACCAGCUUUGGAAUUGUUCUCCUUUUGUCAGCUGGUGAGCUGGCCCAAACACCCUCUGAUGAUGAGGGUUAGGGUAUGUUAUAUGUCGGUGAGCUGCAGUGGAUCAAUGAAUCAGAGCUGAAGGAUGGAGAUGGAACAAUCUCUGCAAGCCUGCCACUCUCUGCAUGGGACAGAUGAACGGGAUGAAGAAAGAAGGGAAGCAACAUCUAUCUUUGAAACAGCCUUGCAGCAUAGCGCCAUACUGCUGACUGUAGGGCUGUAUGGACACAGCUGUUCCAUUGGUGGAGGAAGAUGCUUGAUAUGGGCAGAGAGUGCCACCUAAAGGCAAAAAAUGUGCUGACGGUUCCACCUAGAGCCAAUAUCGGAGAGCCCUUCAGCACAUCAGCCACCUGCUUGUUGCAGUUCUUCUCCAGCCAGACUGAUGCUGGGGACUUCAUCGUGUUCUCGAUGGUCUGGAACAUUUCUUGGGCAAUUCGACAUUUUCAAUUACAGAUGAAAACUUCUUCUAGGACAACAUACAGAGAUGCAUCUCCAUAGACAUGCUAAGCAAGCAAGCACCUCUUCCCUUCAGUUAGCUCAGCCAUCAGGCAGCAGAGUUUUCAGGCAAACACCGUCACAGAGAAAUGGCUUUGGGUUAAGAUAAUUCCAACGCAAGUACCUGCUCCAUUUUUUUGUUGGUUGUUGGCUUAGUGCUGUUGUUUGCUUUUUUUUCUUUUUCCAACCAGUUUAACAGAAAGGGAUUCUCUGAGGUUACCUUAAAUGCACCUUCCUCCAAUUUCUUCUUUUAUGGAUAAAUUAUACUGUGUUUAGCACAGUGCAAUUCCCAAACAGGAAAUGUUGCUAAAUUCAGUUUGCUGUUCUUCGAGGAGUCAUCUUUGAGAGCUUUGCCCUGGUGGCAUAUGGACCAUCUCCAGCCAUUCCAGUUAUACUUAAGA